AGUGGAAGGAAAGACAAGGCAGCAGCAUUUCAGAAAGGUAAGCUUUAAUUGUAUUUUUAAAAUAUCUGUGUUUUAGUAAGCAGUUCCUCUACGCAGGCCUGUGCCUGGGGGAACAACCCUGUAUCUGCAAGGUGCAAACAACAUCAGAGCUCUCUGAACUUCAGCCAGCCUGCUCCAAGGGGAAGGAUGAUAGGAACCAGCUUCUGGUUCAUCUGCAUCAUUUUAAGGGGAAAAUGACUUAACUCCGUUCCAUACCAUACACUCAGAAGCAUGGCUCCUGCUGCAAUGUGAUUCCUUGCUUGAGGGUAACCAAGAGCUCUUUCCGGAACUGGUAUUAAUGCUGUUUUGCUGUUGAAGUACCAAUGAGAUACAGGCUAAUAUUUAAAUAGACAUACCCCCAGAAGCUUUAACUACUGUUAAAGAGAUUUUCCCCUCUUUCUUCUUCAUCCCAGUAUUAUUGAGUAUUUCUAGAUCUCUGAAUAGCAACAUUGUACCUCAGGGGGGGUAGGUGAGGAAAAUUUUAUAGAAAAUAAGUAGAGGUUAAAAACCACUAUUUACAGGGCUGAAGAAGGGACUCCCUUCAUAUAUUUAUCUCUGACAUCAAGACAAAACAACUUUCUUCCUAUGAACUCCAAGACAGAAAGGAAGAGUAGAGUUCUAGGUUCCCCUCAUGAAAACGCUUACCCUGGCUUCAACUUACAACCUCAUUCUAGAAGGGCUUAAAAUAAUGUAAUAUAGAUAAAAAGGAAGGAUAACAGCUUAAUGAUGGACCAGGCCAAGGCAUCUGUUUAUUUUAACCAUAAUUAAACAUUCUCAUUUGAAUGGCACAUUGCAUUAACCAGGACCUGAAAUCCUGGUUCAUAGGCAUUUAGUAUCCCUUUGUUUUAGACAGACACUCUUUUAAGUCAGUACUUUCUAGGCCCUUGCAAAGACAUUUGUGUUGUCUUCUCCCACCAUCACUAGACCAUUAGCUUUCAAAGAAAAAGGAAAGAGCAACCAACUUGGAAGUAAUAGCUAUGAUGAGAGAAUUUAGGUUAGGAUGCAUGCUUUGUACCUAGACUUCUGCAGUGGGAAGGAAUACUUUUGCCCUGGUAUUCCAGAAACCACUCUCUUUCUUUACCAAAGCAAAGCAUGCCUGUCCCUUGCAUACUCUGUCACAAAGAGGGCCACAGCUCCACCUAACUUUUUCCCCAUCCACUUUGGCAGUUCUUAAAAUGGAAGAAGUAGCACACAGACUUGUUAAGGAAAACUGUUUAUCUUUUCCUUUCUUCAGUGGUUAGGAAGCAAGCUGUACAUAAUAAGCAGUACAGUAAGUUACUUGCUUUCUCUUGAAAAGGUGACAGAACUUUAUUCCGUCCUUAAGGAUGCUGGAUAGGAGAGCUCAUGUCUUAUUACAGACAAGAUCAUUAGCUCCAACAUACAUUGGAAUAACUACUCCAUUUAUGCGGGAAAAUAAGGUAUUAGCAUGUCUCUAAGACAAAAAUGAACUUGAAUUCAAUGAAAUGCCUCCCUACCUAGUAUCCAUUCCAAGUCUUGGUUGUACUCAACUCUAACUAGACAAGCUGGCUAACCUGGCCUAACCUUGUAGUAGGAAGACUUUCCCAUGAUUCAAGGAUGUCCCUUGUUCAGAUUAAAAAACUAGCUUUCAUUACUCUCCUGAGCUUUGCCUUCCAAUCAAAAUAGUACAAGUAGUAAUAAUUCAGUACUUGAUUACACAUUUCUAGUCAAAUUUGGGUUAAGAUGCUACUCUGAAGCUGUUGCUCUCUUGUUUAAAUCCAAUCAGGUACAAACUGAGAACCUGUAAUGGCUGUAGUACUACUUUAAUAUUAGAGAGGAACACAUUGGACUGUCUACCAGGCCACAGGAUAUAUACAUGGUUAUUGUAAACCACCUUUCAGCCUAGGCUCUGAUCACCAGCAACUGCCUAGAGACAACAUACUAAAGAAAUUAAAGGCACCACUUGUAAAGGCAAAGUACUCCAAAUGGAGAAGAGGAUUUUGCAGUAAUCAGCAAUAUCCUACCUUGUGCCACCCUUUCCUUCCUCUUUAAAUCAAAAUAUACCAAAUAACUGACUCCCUUGCAGCUGCUAAUAUUCAAAAAAAGCAGCUAUUAAGUGCCAAGGAGGGGAUUUUUUUUUUUUUUAAAUUCACACUUAACAUGACUGUUUUAUCAUGAACCCAGAAGAAUCAGCUGUGGGGGAGAGAAUGCUCAGUAUUGUUGGUGCCAAGGCUAGGGAAAAAAAAAUAAGCCUGCUAAACAAGCCUUAACAGCCCAAGCUGUAGCCAUUCAUGCUAUGUACCCAUUUAUCAAGGACUUUCUACAUGCAGCAGCAAUAAAAGCAAUAUCUAUUCUAGUCUAAGAUGACUAUGCAGAGGGAGAGUUCAUGUUGCAAAGGACAAAACAAAGAAGGGCUAGGAGAUAGGGGAGGUCUCGAAAUUCUGUUUUCUGUCUGAAUACUUCUUGACUUUUCUAGCAGUGACCUUCCAAGAGAGGCUGUAGAGGAACAAAAUUACAAAGGAAAUCAAAAUAGGCUACAGCAAAAUAGGCUGAGUUGUGCCAUGGCUGCUACUUCUAGAGUAAUCUCCUUGCUUUGAUGCUUCUGCACCUGUGCAGUUGCUAGUAAUUGCUGCUGGCCCCACUGACAGUUUCUGGAAAGUAGAGGAUAAAUAAACAUUAAGUAAUAAUUUUGAGAGAUUCCACCUGAUGGUUUCUAGCAGUGCUUUCUCACAGAACUGAUGUUCUGACAGCUUGUGAACACAGUGCUCUAAUGCAGUUUGUUAGAAAGACUCAGGCUGCAGAGGGCUGUAAAACUUCAAAGACAAAGGUUUGUUCCUAUUCAGUUCAACAGAAGAAUUACUGAUAGGAAGGAGAAGAAAAGCCAUUAACAGCUAACCACAGCUGAACUAAGUAGCAAACAGAUUAAACAAUGAGAGGAAGAAUUUCUAGAGUAAUUCCAGUUCCUUUUUUAAUAUCUAAAGGAAGUUAAGUAAGAAGUCACCUUGCCUGCCAUACUUCCUCAGGAGUCUUAACUGCAGGCAACAUGUUAACUAAAAAGUGGAGGAAGAAAGCGCAGAGAUUAUGGGUCACUUUUAUAUGAGAGGUAUCAAUUUAAAAAUAAAGCCUUUCCUCAAGGGAAAAAAGACUGAUCUUUCCAUUUCAUGUUGUUCAGCUCCCCUUUUUCUCCCCCGCCCCCAACCUUCUAAGGAUAAAUAUGCUGCAAGGAACUGCCAAUACAAGCAGCAGCAUGUUUUCGCCUGUGAAAAAAAAAAAUCUGUGCACCCUGAAAAAGCAGGCAGGGGAGAGUGCUCAGUGAGACAGGCAGCUCACAACACUGUAAGACACUGAUGCUCGUACUGGUGAACUGUGCAGUGAGCCUUGUGAGGUCUCUGAUCCCACACCUAUCUAAAACCCCCUGAACCCACGGUAAGCAAAACUACACCUUUGCUGCAGAUAGCUAGUCUUCAAGGAAAAAAAACAGGCUCUGCUAACCUCUUUCCUUCCAGAGGAAGACAGUCCACAGAGGGUCUGGUUGAAGAACAUUUGCUUAAUGUGUGUUAAAACAAUUAGUGGGUGAAACUUAAGUGGUUUGGGUGCUCUCUUGUCCUAUAAAAUGUUAGAAUAAAUGGAUAUACUACAGGCUGCAUUUCCACAAACUGCAGAAAGGCUCCUAGGUGCUGACAUCAGGCAUGGCAGAAGCAGCAG